AUGAUGUUUCCUGUGGUGGCUGAGAGCGAGACAAGAGUCCAGCACUUCCUUCUCCAGGCCGGGCUCCCCUUUCAGAGAGACAAGACCUCCACAAGGCCACUUAUCAAGGGUAAGUCAGAACUUCUCUUCCCUGCUUUGGUUCCUUCAGUCUCCUCUUUCUGCUUUGGUGCCCAUGUAAGACUGGAGACCAGGGGAAGAUGUUCAACGAAUGAGCCCCCGUGGAUAUUUCUCAAAUAGAAAACGUUAAAACAGAAAUUUAUAUUUUUUUAAUGUUAUGUAACACAUUUGUCUACAUCCUUCACUUUAUUCAAUGUAAUCUUGUACACUACUGUUUCCUUAUGAUAUAACAUCAAUGUGCAUGCGCCGUCCUUAAUUGAGAACAUGUGAACGUGUGUUCAUUUUUCCAUUUGGCAUAUUAAUAUAAUAAACAUAGGCACAGACUAUCGGAAGAUUUUGAGUUUCUUUGGUAACAGUUUACUUGGACGCUGCCAUAGCCUACAUUAAUCGUGUUGCCAUAAUGACAAGAUGUCACAAAAACAAUCAUGACUUAGCCUGUCUGCUUAAUGACAACUGACUUAAAACAAACAUGACCCAACCAUGGUUUGAAUUUAAGGGGUGCUAGAAUAUGAACUUAAACAUCAGUGUGGACACCCCAAAGAGUGUGUAUAAUUUGAACCCUGAACAAAGUGUUAUUUAGGCAUGCUAAUUCCCACUAGUCAACUAGCUUCCAGUACCUACGUAGAUAACAUUGCCUGAACUUUGACAUGUUAUAUCGUCAUGACACCAAAGGGUUCAGGUAAGGUCUAACGAGAUAUUUUGUACAUUCAUUGACUGGUACACUAGUUCACUUAGCUGUCAUGUUCUACUUUGUGCAGCGAUCAGUAACACCCUGUCAAAGGAAAAGGCUUUCUAAAUGCACAG
rnacentral:lncRNA from 13 species